AUAAUUUUUUUUGUGAUCUUUUAUUUCAGCUCAUGAAACAUGGGACCAACACUUUACAUGUUGCAUAUAUUUUUGUUCCGUGUAGAUGUGACAAAGGUUAAAUGUACAACCUUGUUAGACAUUUCUGCCAUGAUUGUUUGCGCAUCAUGCUUUGGCAAUAUCAUGGGUAAAACUUAAUCUGAAGCUACCAUCCUGUUGCUGCGGAAAAUUACACAAAAGCAGUUACACCACAAUUGUUACACCAAAACUUCCAACAAAAUUGGUCACUUCUACAUCUACCAAAUGGUACAAAGUGGUAGCCAGCCUCUUUCAAAGAAACCAAAAAGUUGUCUUGAUCAGUUCACCAUACCAUUGUAAACAGUAAAGUAAAGUAAAAGCGCUAUAUGAGCCUUUAUUGCACUGUAAUCCAGCCUAAUGAAAUCCUGGAAGAAAUGUACAAAACAACCAUUUAUCUUGCCGUCAAUCUUUUAAUCGUCUUAAAGAGCUCACACAGUUAAUUCAUUGCAUAGGAUACAUGAGUAAUAACGUUUUUAAAAAGACAACUAUUUUAAUACCUCCAGAAUAUUGAAUAAUUCCCCCCAAUUAAAACCUUCAGACCAAUAAGCAUUCUGACUACUCAGAAGUAUUGACACAGGUGCAUUUUAAGAUAUAACAUGGAGCUUGAAUCAACCUUACAAAUACAAGUUCACAGCUGUAGGGUAGUUCUACAAAAUGAGGCCCUUUUGCAUCCCUUUGAUAUUUUAAGUAGACAUUUUGCACCAAUAUUGGAUUUUAAAAGCCUGCUAUAUUAAAUGAAACACCAUUUAAUAUAGACCACAUGGAAAAUUCAAUAAAUCCACUUGUUUUUGUAUAUCACUAAAGACUUAAAAGUGCCAACAUUCAGCAUUUUGACAUGUCCCUCUGCACUCUGACUUCUCAGAACAUUUUAACCCACUUAACCCUAAAGUAAUUUUGCUGCUUUGACAAAGUAAUUUCAGAAGAUUAUCCAUUUCAUGUGAUUAGUGAUUCAUUGUAAGGUAAUUUUUAAAAAACAUUUCCCUCAUUUUAAGCUCAAUCCUGUUACGUGAGCUGAACUCUCGUUUUAAUAAGGUGAAUAUUUAAUAAUAUUUUUGUUUUCAAAAGAAACAUUGAACAUCUAAUAAUCAAAAUCAGUGUAAAAGCAGGUGAGCUGGUUCUACUCUUUUUGGCCAUUUUCUGGUGUUUUGUGGUGACAAACAGUGGGUUGGGCAUAACACAUCAACCCUGUUACCCAUAGAUUAAGUUACACUACUCAAAAAGGGACUUGUUUCUUUGAAUGACCCCUGUAACAGCUAAACCUGCUGAUUAUUGAGAGGGUGUUUCAAAAUUAAGGGACGUUUCAGAUUCUAACAGCUACGGGCAUUCUCAAAAUCUUUGUCAAGGAAAAAGGCAAGUGAUUAGAAUACAUGAGGUACCACAUCGUCAUGAUUAGAAUACAUGAGGUACCACAUCGUCAUGAUUAGAAUACAUGAGGUACCACAUCGUCAUGAUUA